UACAGAGGGUGCAAGCGUUGUUCGGAAUUAUUGGGCGUAAAGCGCGUGUAGGCGGCUUGGCAAGUCGGGUGUGAAAGCCCUCAGCUCAACUGAGGAAGUGCGCCCGAAACUGCUUUGCUUGAGUGCUGGAGAGGGUCGCGGAAUUCCCCAAGUAGAGGUGAAAUUCGUAGAUAUGGGGAGGAACACCGGUGGCGAAGGCGGCUCACUGGCCCGAUACUGACGCUGGAGACACGAAAGCGUGGGUAGCAAACAGG
rnacentral:rRNA from 1 species